rnacentral:lncRNA from 1 species
GUUUUUGAUGUUAACGAUAGGUUUUGAGGUUUAAACUAAAAAUCGCCAGGGGAGCAGAUUGAGGUACAACUGCACGUCAUGUGGUCGUUGCUGAUGAGCCCGGCGGAGUGACGUCAGCCGCAAGGUGAGAAGGAUAACGUGAACUGAAAGCGGAGGAGAGUAUAGCCUCGCUCAUCUCAUCCCGUCCCAUCUGCCUGUUGUCAUUAUCACUCACAGAAAGACUCACUGCUGCUGCUGGACUACAUGGAAACACAUUCUUUCCACGCUCGGUCGAGCCUUCGGACACCGGGGGCGUCGACAGCAUUUUCACAGAAGGUCAACCACACGGCCCCGAUGACUUAGUGUGCCGAGCUAGUGUGGAAUUCGAUUGCUGCAGCUCAAUUCUGCCCGUCUGCUCAGUGGUCUGUUUGCCAAGAGUAGAAGAGAGCAGGGCAUGAGGCUGAGCUGGCUGUCACAUGCCAUCUGCGGGGUCACAUGAAGACACGCCAUCACGUUCUCUACUCUCCUUUUCCUCCUGGCGUAUCUCUGAGCCAAGGAGGAUUGGCAGAUAAGGUGUGAAAGGGGCUUGAGUUCAGUCAGCAGUCAAAGUCAAAGAAGACAGCCUGAUUCUAACUUGCAAUUUAGUGUCUACAUAAUUUUAUUAUUGCCUUACAAUAUAAAGCGCCUUGAGAUGACUGUUGUUGUGAUUUAGUGUUAUAUUGUUAUUGAAUUGAAUUUAAAUAGUUUAGGAAAUCAAAUACAGAAAGAGGGACCUCAGAGACUUCAGGUUGGUGUAUUAAAAACAACAAAGUAAAAUAGUGAGUGUGUUAGUGUCAGCACAGAGCGGAUGAGAAAGGUAGAAUCUGAAGAGGUGUCCCUGCGGCCUUCAAUUUGUUUUUGUCUUGUUAAACACAAACUGAGUUUCAAGAAUCACUGGGACCACUGCCAAGCGCUGAGACGCCAGUAACACAGAACGUGUAUCAGCCCCGCCAGGUAAACUGUCAACAGGAGGACGCCGUGUGUUGAGUGACUGCUGUGACUUGACAUGUUUAUUGGAGUAGACAUGGAAGCCGUUCAGUGGGUGAACAUUCUUGUAGAGGGACUUGAAUAAGAUUUACAAACAUAGAGGUUUUUUUUCAUUGUGUCAGUUAUGAUACACUCUUUCUUUUUACAAAAAUCUAAAUGAGCACCUAUUUUUACACCACUGAGAAGCUCAUA